GAGUCCUCAUCAAUGCUCCAAUGGGGUAACAUACAUACAUUAAGUUUGGUUUACAUAAAACAUUAUUAAACCAUUACAUUUGAAAGAUCAUGUAUCAAAAGGGAUAACCAUACAAACUAGGGUCAAGCACACUCUAAUCCUCAAUAACAUCAUUACAUUACAUAACUAUUCAAUACAAUACAUUUCAAUAUCCAUCAUGUCCACCACUAGCUAUUACAUAAACAUGACUUUACUCUAGCUGACCUCCUGGUCUAUCCCGUACC
rnacentral:lncRNA from 1 species